GGCAGCAGUGGGGAAUAUUGCACAAUGGACGAAAGUCUGAUGCAGCAAUGCCGCGUGUGUGAAGAAGGCCUUCGGGUUGUAAAGCACUUUCAGAUGUGAGGAAAAGCAAGCUAUUAAUACUAGGUUGCCGUGACGUUAACAUCAGAAGAAGGACCGGCUAACUCCGUGCCAGCAGCCGCGGUAAUACGGAGGGUCCAAGCGUUAAUCGGAAUUACUGGGCGUAAAGCGCGCGUAGGCGGAUAAUUAAGUCAGAUGUGAAAUCCCUGGGCUCAACCUAGGAACUGCAUUUGAUACUGGUUAUCUAGAGUAUGGUAGAGGUGAGUGGAAUUUCAGGUGUAGCGGUGAAAUGCGUAGAGAUCUGAAGGAACAUCAGUGGCGAAGGCGACUCACUGGGCCAUUACUGACGCUGAGGUGCGAAAGCGUGGGUAGCAAACAGGAUUAGAUACCCUGGUAGUCCACGCCCUAAACGAUGUCAACUAGGUGUGUGAGAGUCUAACUCUUGCGUAUCGAAGCUAACGCGAUAAGUUGACCGCCUGGGGAGUACGGUCGCAAGACUAAAACUCAAAGGAAUUGACGG
rnacentral:rRNA from 1 species